UGGGGGUGGUCAGCUAGGACCUGUUCAGUGG
rnacentral:piRNA from 1 species